AGCAGCCGCCGCGGUAAUACGAAGGGUGCAAGCGUUAAUCGGAAUUACUGGGCGUAAAGCGUGCGUAGGCGGUUUGUUAAGUCUGUUGUGAAAUCCCCGGGCUCAACCUGUGAAUGGCAAUGGAUACUAGCAAGCUAGAGUGUGUCAGAGGAUGGUGGAAUUCCCGGUGUAGCGGUGAAAUGCGUAGAGAUCGGGAGGAACAUCAGUGGCGAAGGCGGCCAUCUGGGACAACACUGACGCUGAGGCACGAAAGCGUGGGGAGCAAACAGGAUUAGAUACCCCAGUAGUCCCUGUCUCUUAUAC
rnacentral:rRNA from 1 species